rnacentral:rRNA from 1 species
AGCGAACGCUGGCGGCAGGCCUAACACAUGCAAGUCGAACGGAUCCUUCGGGAUUAGUGGCGGACGGGUGAGUAACACGUGGGAACGUGCCCUUUGGUUCGGAACAACUCAGGGAAACUUGAGCUAAUACCGGAUGUGCCCUUCGGGGGAAAGAUUUAUCGCCAUUGGAGCGGCCCGCGUCUGAUCAGCUAGUUGGAGAGGUAAAGGCUCACCAAGGCGACGAUCAGUAGCUGGUCUGAGAGGAUGAUCAGCCACAUUGGGACUGAGACACGGCCCAAACUCCUACGGGAGGCAGCAGUGGGGAAUCUUGCGCAAUGGGCGAAAGCCUGACGCAGCCAUGCCGCGUGAAUGAUGAAGGUCUUAGGAUUGUAAAAUUCUUUCACCGGGGACGAUAAUGACGGUACCCGGAGAAGAAGCCCCGGCUAACUUUGUGCCAGCCGCCGCCGUAA